UCCGUUAUGAGAAAGGGCAAGAUGGUCAACUUAUCUGAAGCGCAAAAAUCAAAAUUCAAAAAUUGAAAUCUCGAUCGGUGUAACUUCGCCUGAAUGGUUGCCAGGUUUUCCACUAAAUUGACUUAAAAGGAAAAAAAAAGGGGAGAACUAAAAGACAUUUGCCUUUCUCUGUAAUUGAAGCUUUAAACAGUUAGGGUUGGCGACUAGCGACUGGGGCCGUGGAUGAUGACGAGUGGGGUCCGAAAAGACGAAAAAGGUGGCGCUGUGGCCGUGGUAGAGGAGGAGAAGUCCAAAGAAUUGACACAAAUUGAUAACUAGAAGGAAGACAUUAGUAGAUUCGUUCUAUGAGACUGAUCGUGGGUUGACGACAACUAGCGAAACGAGAGCGGAAAUUGUUGAGCUUAUUACACAGCUUGGAGCUAAGAAUCCGACUCCUGCACUGAGUGAGGCGUUAACCUUGCUUAAUGGCAAAUGGAUUCUUGCGUAAGUGUUUGUUUUGCUUUUUGGUUCGUGGGAAAAUUAUGGUGAAGGGAUUGAAUUUGGGAGUUUUUAAAAUUGGGUAUUUUUGUGGGUUGUUAGUACUUGAGCUAAGUUGAAAUUUUGGUUAAUUUAGGAUGAUAUAAUCACAUAGCUUGUUUUGGUUGAAUUCUACUGCUUUGGAAAUGAAAAUAUGAAGUUAUUCUGAAUGAAAUUUUAAUCCUUUUUGAUAAUUUCUUUGUUUAUUGCUCAAAGGCAUAUUUAUCGCUAGAAAAUUAGUGAUUUUAUCAAUAAUAUAUUUGGAGGGUUAGAGACUCUCAAGAACUUGGAGUUGUAAAAUUGAGAUAAAAACUUUGGAUAUUCCACUGGUGAUCUUAUAUUCUAUCACGAAUAUGCUUUGCAACUUUAAAAAUUGUUAUGUUAUUAAUUGUAAUCAACACCAAAGUCCAAAAUUGAUAUUUCUAAAUUGUGACGCUGCUUUUAUGUAAUCAAUUCUACUUUGAUAGUAUAUAUCAGGUGGCUGCAGAACUCACCAAGAAACUGUGUUAUUUCUGACGGCAAAAUUUGGUGUUUCAAUUUGUACCUAGCAAAAGAGGUUGUAGAUUUUCUUGAGUUGGAACAGAGAUGCAGCUGUAGCACCAAUAGAUGGAUUUAUGCCUUUUCAUAUUGUAGUCUUGUUGAUAUUGGGUUUAAAUUUAUGUGUGGCAAUGGAGGUAUACAUCCUUUUCUAGUUUGCUCCCCUUAUUGUCAAGGGGUUAAUUGCAAUUGGCGAGAGUGGAGGAGAUAUCUCAGACAAUUGACUCAUUAAUUGGUGAGGGCUCAUAUGGAAGAGUGUAUUUCGGUGUUAUGAGAAGUGGGCAGUCUGCAGCCAUCAAGAAAUUAGAUUCUAGUAAGCAACCAGACCUGGAAUUUCUAGCACAGGUUUCCAUGGUAUCAAGACUUAAACAAGAAAAUAUUGUUGAGCUUGUUGGUUAUUGCAUUGAUGGCCCUCUACAUGUCCUUGUCUACUAACAUACUUCUAAAGGAUUUCUUGAUGACAUUCUUCAUGGUUAAGUGGUGUCAUAUUAUUUCUAUGUUUUCAACUCUUAGCUACCAUACCAAUAAAGAUCAUUAUGUGGAUUGACUUUAUAAAUCAUGAAAGGUGUUUCUAGCUGAGGGGUGAUCAUUUAUAUUUAAAAAUUCUGGUAUUCUUUGCAUAUCAUAAUUGGUUUUAAGUUUUGUAAUUGAUGGUUGUGGAAGCCUAGUGUCAAACAAAUUUGAGAGAUGAAUAGAAGAUGAUAUUCAAUUCUCAAAAUAAAAAAGUUACCCUCAUUCUUAAUGUGCUAAUUAUUAUGCCAUUUGCAGCAUCUUCAAUACUGCCCUGACAAUGAUUUCAUCUCUCCUAUCACUGCAGCGUGGACAACAGAGCCUUGUGACAUGGCUUCAUUCAAGCUGUUUUUUAUGCAAUUCUGGAUUGUUUAAGGCAACUCCAAAACUCAGUGAAGAUAAGGUG